AGAGUUUGAUCCUGGCUCAGGAUGAACGCUAGCUACAGGCUUAACACAUGCAAGUCGAGGGGAAACGACAUCGAAAGCUUGCUUUUGAUGGGCGUCGACCGGCGCACGGGUGAGUAACGCGUAUCCAACCUGCCCAUCACUUGGGGAUAACCUUGCGAAAGUAAGACUAAUACCCAAUGAUAUCUCUAGAAGACAUCUGAAGGAGAUUAAAGAUUCAUCGGUGAUGGAUGGGGAUGCGUCUGAUUAGCUUGUUGGCGGGGUAACGGCCCACCAAGGCGACGAUCAGUAGGGGUUCUGAGAGGAAGGUCCCCCACAUUGGAACUGAGACACGGUCCAAACUCCUACGGGAGGCAGCAGUGAGGAAUAUUGGUCAAUGGGCGAGAGCCUGAACCAGCCAAGUAGCGUGCAGGAUGACGGCCCUAUGGGUUGUAAACUGCUUUUAUAAGGGAAUAAAGUGAGUCUCGUGAGACUUUUUGCAUGUACCUUAUGAAUAAGGACCGGCUAAUUCCGUGCCAGCAGCCGCGGUAAUACGGAAGGUCCGGGCGUUAUCCGGAUUUAUUGGGUUUAAAGGGAGCGUAGGCCGGAGAUUAAGCGUGUUGUGAAAUGUAGAUGCUCAACAUCUGCACUGCAGCGCGAACUGGUUUCCUUGAGUACGCACAAAGUGGGCGGAAUUCGUGGUGUAGCGGUGAAAUGCUUAGAUAUCACGAAGAACUCCGAUUGCGAAGGCAGCUCACUGGAGCGCAACUGACGCUGAAGCUCGAAAGUGCGGGUAUCGAACAGGAUUAGAUACCCUGGUAGUCCGCACGGUAAACGAUGGAUGCCCGCUGUUGGUCUGAGUAGGUCAGCAGCCAAGCGAAAGCAUUAAGCAUCCCACCUGGGGAGUA
rnacentral:rRNA from 1 species